GGGGAAUAUUGGACAAUGGGCGAAAGGCUGAUCCAGCCAUGCCGCGUGAGUGAUGAAGGCCCUAGGGUUGUAAAGCUCUUUCACCGGUGAAGAUAAUGACGGUAACCGGAGAAGAAGCCCCGGCUAACUUCGUGCCAGCAGCCGCGGUAAUACGAAGGGGGCUAGCGUUGUUCGGAAUUACUGGGCGUAAAGCGCACGUAGGCGGAUUGUUAAGUGAGGGGUGAAAUCCCAGGGCUCAACCCUGGAACUGCCUUUCAUACUGGCAAUCUCGAGUCCGGAAGAGGUGAGUGGGAUUCCGAGUGUAGAGGUGAAAUUCGUAGAUAUUCGGAGGAACACCAGUGGCGAAGGCGGCUCACUGGUCCGGUACUGACGCUGAGGUGCGAAAGCGUGGGGAGCAAAC
rnacentral:rRNA from 1 species